rnacentral:lncRNA from 1 species
CCCACAUGCCUAUCACGGAGUUCCCGUGUAAGUAAUUGUUUCGGGUGUAACACUUCAUCAGUUUCUCGCAUGGGAACCCCGUGUAUGCAAAGGUCAUGGAUCAAAGAGGCGUGAUCCAAACUGCCUGUAGCUGGCCCGGCUAGGAUGCGAAGAAUGCUGUUUUGAAUAACUCUGCCAAUAUCAAUAGAAUACCCCUUUUGAAUAACAAAAUUCAAUAAGGCCCGUUUCUUGGUGACCUCGCUGGUGUUGCUACUGGGGAUCAGUUUGGAUGAUAUGAAGUGGUGCCAAAUUUUACAGUUAGGUAUCAAACCAGAGGAAGGGAAGUGAGUUACAUCACUAGCUGAUCUUUUCCAUUCAGUACCGAGGCGAGCUAUAGUGCGAAUUAUCUCAUCGGGAUCGACCCCCUCAUCGCGUAGUCGGGAAUAGUCAUCAUUGGGUAUAUCCUGCGUGUGGUAGAACCUGUUAAUUGAAAAACUGUUAAACUUGAUCCAAAAAGCCCGGACAAAAACUUUGAAGUUCUCGUGUUCAUUGACAUUGGCAUAAAAUUCUUUCACCAAAAGAAUGAAUACAACUGUAGGUUGCUUGAUAAACUUCUCCCAUCCCAAACUAAUGGAUACAGCUGUAGGUUGCUUGGUAAACUUCUCCCAUCCCAAACUGUGAAUUUUAUUUGGCAAAAAAUUUUCAUGGCCC